GGCCCCAAGCUUCUGCCUGGUGAGAGCGCAGCCUGCUCCCGCCUCUGCGUCCCUUGCUGGUCCCCGGCUCCCGAGGACAGCUUUGGCUUGCACGGAAGUCUUUCUGAUUGGGUCGUGGACUCUUGCAUGGAGGUCCAGCGUGCAACAGAUAAGAACGGAGCUGCUGGCUGAAGAGACAGAUGCCCACUCUGGCCGCUCUCCCUCACCGCCAGGCCCGGUCAGACAGCUCAGCCG